UCUUGCCUUAGUUAUGCGGAAGUUCCCUGUUCCCUGUGGCCCGAGUGGGUCAAGGGGAAAGAAGAGGAGGGGGCUUGCUCUGUGGGGGCUCUGAAAUACCUAACACAAAAUAACCAAAUAUUUACUGGCUAUGAUUAUUAAAUAUUGUUCUAUACUAGUGCUCUAUUCGUUUAUAUUGUAUGUUACUGAACUCAUGGAAAAUCAUAUCAUUUCCCCUACACAUCAUAAUUCUUUUUUUUUUUUUUUUUUUUUUGGUACCCGGGAUCGAACUUGGGACGUUGGCGCUUGUGAGGCAGGCAGCGGCACCACUGAGCUAAACCACCGGCCCAAAGGAUUAGAAGUCCCAUUUGACCCAGCUAUUCCCCUGCUGGGUAUCUUCCCAAAAGAAUUAAAAGCAUCAUACCACAGUGAUAUAUGUGCACCCAUGUUUAUAGCGGCA
rnacentral:lncRNA from 1 species